GGGCUGGUAGCUUAGUCAGGCAGAGCGAUGGACUCUUAAUCCAUAGGUCGUGGGUUCAAAUCCCCCCCAGCCCG
rnacentral:tRNA from 1 species